GUUGAUAUAAAUUUGCAGUGUACUAAUUGUGGGUUCUUCCAUUUUAUUUUUAAGGAAAUGGCUAUGCGAUAUGAAAACGUAGUAUUUGCCAAUGUGGAUGUGGAUGUUGCAGCGGAGGUGGCCUGUUCUUGUCAAGUCAAAGCCAUGCCCACAUUUCAGAUGUAUAAAGAAUCCCGAAAGAUAUUUGAAUUCAGUGGUGCUGAUGCCAAAAAACUGGAAGAAAAGAUUCAGGAACUAAUGUGAGCUGAUCUACAAGUAAAAUUAUAGUUUCUUAGUUUUAAAAGAUAACUAAAAAUUUUGCUUAUAUUUUAUUUCCUUGCAGAUAACUGAAUACUCCAUUAAUUACACCUUCAUCAUGACUUAGAACUUUACUUGUAUGUUAUCAGCUCACUGAAAAAUAUUCCACAACUCCUCAGAGACACUGACUCACUUUCAUUUUCUAACCUGGUCAUACCAUUCCCCUUCAGUGCUACCAUCAAGGAAUGUUAAAAUGAUCUCUACAAUAAAAAUAAUAACAGUUCAUAUUUAUAUAAUACU
rnacentral:lncRNA from 1 species